rnacentral:misc_RNA from 1 species
GCAUUGUUUGUUCGGCUUCGUAUCGUUGCUCCCCGUCGACACGUACGACAGGCAAUCCGACAUGUUCAGCAGCGUCGUAAAGCAAUCCACUCCCCCGGCCGGUCCCGGCGCCGGAGCCUGUGCUGCAAUGCCGUGAAUAGCGAGUAUCGCCACUGCGAAAGCGAAGAUCGAGGCCGCCGCCGCCGCCAUUGGUCGCGAUCUGAAGUGAAAGAGAUCGGAAGUGUUCG